UGCAAUUAUUGAAGUGUAAUUAUGAGGGAAGGGGAGAAAAGGAGAGGAGGCAUUUUACGGGGGAGGCUUGGCAAAAAGAAGGGGGGAUUAUUGGCAUGUGAGAGGGAGAGAGGGAAAGCAGCAGAGGGAGGGAACUCUUCUCCCGUUUCCAGCCGUCCAAAGGGCAACCAUGGGAAGCUGUACAAACUCUGAAGGGCAUAGAGGAGGAGCUGGGUUGGGCAUCUGGUGAGAGGGAAGUUCUUGCAGCCAGAUCUGGAGAGAAAGGGGAGAAGUACUGAAUUUGCUAAGAGAUCUGGAGCUGUAUGACUGGAGGAGAUGGAUCACAAAUCUCACAAAGGAAGUCUUCAAAGAGUAUUCAGGCACAGAGCGUUCGGUCAGUUUUUGUUAGCGUCCGUCCAAAUAGCAUAGUGGUGUUCGGCAGUUGUGUUCGGCAUAAUAGCUGUCAGCAGAUAGCGUUCGUCCAGAUCGAUUUAUGAUGUUCGUCCAAAGAAGUGUUCGGCCUGUUGUUUAGCGUUCGCCCUGUAGCGUUCGUCCAAAUCAAUUUGGUGACGUUCGGCCUAGUGCUCGGUAAUAACGUUCGUCCAAGUGCGUUUGCCGUUCGUCCAAAACAGUGUCCGCCCAAGGGCUUUUGGCGCUCGUCCAAAUAGUGUUCGUCCCAGUGGUGAUAUUUUCUGUUAUGUGUUAUAUUAUUUAAAUAUUUCGGUUACAAUUUAUGAAUGCAUCUUCAUGUGAUCCAGAUUGGUUGAAAGUGUAUGGUUAUAAGUGGUUUAUGAUGUACAUUGUUGAUCCAAAAGAAAUAUCAUGAGAUUUAAAGUGGUCGGAUUGAAUGUGAAAUUAAGAUCUCUCGGUGGGAUCGGUUAGUGUAUUGAAUGAAUGUAAGAGGCUUCCAUAUGGGGGGUUAUCCCUAACACUCCAACGGUCUUUCAUUCUCACUUAGAGAGGAUUGACGCGUGUGGUGGGAGUAGUGGGAGGUCCUAGGGUAGACGCUAUCACUGGAGGUCUAUUCCGCGGCAACGGACUAGCCUUGUGUAUGGUCGGGUGGAACCCCUCGGCAAUGACUUUGCAAAGCAGUAGAGGCCAUCACAAGUGCACAACCCGCCCCAGCUCUACAUACAUUCUAUGUCCGGACGUGUCUAGAGUCUUAACAUGAUAAGAUGUUUGUCUUGAUGAGUUUUAUGAAAUAAAUGCUAUAUUGAUUUAAAAUGAAUUGUAUGAUUGUCUGAGACCUAGCUCACCCUUGCAUUUGUAUGUGUUGCGUGUGUUUGCUUUCCCCCUCGCGAUGAUCAUCCAAUCCUUUGGAUGU